GUCGGCAGUGACUCAAUGAAUAGAGACGAUACAGGAAGCAGAGCAGAAAAACUUGAUCCAAAUGGGAGCCACAGAGAGAUAUUUUUUUUUUCUUCUUUAAUUUAUUUAUAGGCAGGCAGCCACAGAAAGCAAGAUUUCUUUCUUCUCUCUCAGCAUUGGAUCCAAAGAAAUUCAAGAUCAAACAUGUUUCCUUCUUUAGCCUCUUCCACUCCCCUCAGUAUUCUCUCCUCAGCACCUUCGCCUCCAACUUCCAUUGCUCACUUCCUUCCUCCUCCUCCCGUCUCGUGUCCUUCGUCUCUGUCUCGACUUCGUGUCAUUCCCGAACCAAACCCUCACCUUCCCCUCUCUCUUCCGUCUCAUUCCACAACCUUCCCCAGACACCACCUUCGAUGCUCCUCCAUGUCCGUGUGUGAGUCCACUUCUACGACUACCCAGCUGCGGGACAGUUUGUUGUACUCGAGAGCAUACUGGGUAAGUGAGUCUACAAUUGCGUGGAAUGUGGAUGUUGGAGAUGAUUCUUGCUACUUAUUCGCCAGUAAAUCUGCUACUUUAUCAUUUACAGAUGAUAAAAUUAGAGGUGAGGACUUCAAAAUUAAGCUCGAAGAGGACAGUGAGGGUCUUCCAGAAAAUGUGACUGAAAAGUUUCCUCACAUCCAAGAUUACCUGGCAUUUAAAGUGCCUCCUGGUUUGGAUACCAAAACUCUACUCAAAUGCCAGUUAGCAGUUGCUGCUCAUAAUUCUGAUGGGAAAUGCACAAAUGCUACUGGUUUGCAGUUACCUGGUGUCCUUGAUGAAUUAUUCUCAUAUAAUGGUCCUCUUGGUGCACUUUUCUUUGAAGAAUCUGUGUUGCUUUACCUCUGGGCUCCUACUGCUCAAGCAGUACGCGCUUGCAUUUAUAGGGAUCCAUCAGGUGGGGAUCCCCUGGAAAUUGUCCAGCUUGAGGAGGUUAACGGUGUUUGGAGUACUGAAGGACCAAAAAGAUGGGAAGGCUGUUACUAUGUCUAUGAAGUGCUUGUAUACCAUCCCAGCACGUUGCGAGUUGAAAAAUGCAUUGCAAAUGAUCCAUAUGCUAGAGGGCUCUCUUCAGAUGGCAGGCGGACAUUUUUGGUGAACUUUGAUUCCGAUAGAUUAAAACCUGAAGGAUGGGAUGAUUUGGCAAAUGAGAAACCCAAAAUAAGUUCUUUCUCAGACAUAAGUAUUUAUGAAUUGCAUAUAAGGGAUUUCAGUGCUAAUGACCAUACUGUGCCUCCUGAAUUUCGUGGUGGUUAUCUGGCUUUCACUUUGCAGGGUUCAUCAGGUGUGCUUCAUCUGAAGAAACUAUCAGAUGCUGGUAUCACUCAUGUCCAUCUGCUUCCAACCUUCCAAUUUGCUGGUGUUGAUGAUGAGAAGGUGAACUGGAAGUGUGUGGAUACCAAGAUGCUGGAGCAAUUACCUCCUGAUUCAGAUGAGCAACAAGCUCUAAUUACUGAAAUCCAAAAUGAUGAUGGAUAUAACUGGGGGUACAAUCCUGUUCUCUGGGGUGUCCCUAAAGGAAGUUAUGCAAGUAACCCAAAUGGUCCUUGCCGUAUAAUUGAGUUUAGAAAGAUGAUUCAGGCACUUAACCGUAUUGGCCUUCGUGUUGUAUUGGAUGUCGUCUACAAUCAUUUGCAAGGAAGCGGGCCCUUUGAUGAGAAUUCUGUCCUUGAUAAGAUUGUUCCAGGUUACUAUCUGAGACGGAACACAGAUGGUUUUAUUGAGCAUAGUACAUGCACGAACAACACUGCCAGUGAGCAUGUUAUGGUUGAGCGACUGAUUCUCGAUGAUCUUCUUCACUGGGCAAUUCAUCAUAAGGUUGAUGGGUUCCGGUUUGACCUCAUGGGUCAUAUAAUGAAAAGUACGAUGGUGAAAGCAAAGGAUGCACUCCACAGCCUAACAAAGGAAAUGGAUGGGAUUGAUGGUUCGAGUAUCUAUAUAUAUGGUGAAGGAUGGGACUUUGGUGAAGUUGCCAAAAAUGGACGUGGGGUGAAUGCAUCACAGUUUAAUCUCGGUGGAACAGGAAUCGGGAGCUUUAAUGAUCGUAUUCGGGAUGCAAUUCUUGGUGGAUCUCCAUUUGGCCAUCCUCUUCAGCAAGGAUUUGCGACCGGUCUAUUAUUGCAGCCUAAUGGACAUGAUCAGGGUACAGAAGCCGUUGCAGAAUGCAUGCUUGCUGUGGCGAAGGAUCACAUCCAGGUUGGUAUGGCUGCAAACUUGAGGGAUUUUGUGAUAACUAAUUAUCAAGGGGAAGAGGUAAAAGGAUCAGAAGUAUUAACUCAUGAUGGGACACCUGUUGCAUAUGCCUUAUGUUCCACAGAAACUGUUAAUUAUGUUUCUGCUCAUGACAAUGAGACCCUAUUUGACAUAGUGAGUUUGAAGACACCAAAGGAAAUUUCUGUAGAUGAGAGGUGCAGGAUAAAUCAUUUGGCAACAGGUGUAAUAGCUCUGUCACAGGGAAUACCUUUUUUCCACUCUGGCGAUGAGAUUCUUCGCUCAAAAUCUCUUGAUCGUGAUUCAUACAACUCUGGUGAUUGGUUCAACAGGCUUGACUUUACUUACAAUUCUAACAAUUGGGGUGUCGGCCUUCCUCCAAAAGAGAAGAACGAAAAGACCUGGCCACUAAUUAAACCUAGAUUAGCAGAUCCAUCCUUCAAGCCUCAGCCAGGUCACAUUCUUGCUGCUGUGGACAAUUUUUUAAACCUGUUGCGCAUAAGAUACUCUUCACCACUUUUCCGGUUGAGGACCGCAAAUGCUAUCCAGGAAAGGGUACAUUUCCACAACACUGGACCAUCAGGGGCCCCUGGUGUGAUAGUCAUGAGCAUUCAAGAUGGUCGUGAAGGUGUCUCAGGGUUAUCUCAACUGGAUCCCACGUACUCAUACAUUGUGGUUAUCAUCAAUGCAUGUCCGACUAAGGUGUCAUUUGCUUGCUCUGCACUGCGGGCAAGAACUCUUAAAUUGCAUCCAGUUCAGGCAAUGUCGACUGAUGAACUGGUCAAGAGUUCAACAUAUGAAGCAUCUUCUGGGAGCUUAGCUGUGCCCCCAAGGACAACAGUUGUUUUUGUUGAGCCUCGUGAGGUUUGAGUGGCUCUGAUGCCAGAUGAAUGUGGCUGUUCACUCUGCACUUCAUUUGUUAAAAGUUUGUUGUCAAUAUGGCAUAGAGGAUUUUCGGUUUCCAUGGCCGAUUACGAAUGUUGGCGUGUUGAUCGUUUUACUAGGAGCAAACCGUUUACUGUCUCUCAAAACAAAAAUGUUAUAUUUAUGUUAGUUGAUUUGACAAAAUUUUGCAUCAAUUGUGUGCUUGAUAUGGCAAUAAACAAGCCUGUAAACAUAAUUUUUCACCAAGGUUGAUCUCAUGCUUGACCUUUAAUAACUUGAGAUUUGAUGUUUUUUAAA